rnacentral:rRNA from 1 species
UACGUAGGGUGCGAGCGUUGUCCGGAAUUAUUGGGCGUAAAGAGCUUGUAGGCGGUUUGUCGCGUCUGCUGUGAAAAUCCGGGGCUCAACCCCGGACUUGCAGUGGGUACGGGCAGACUAGAGUGUGGUAGGGGAGACUGGAAGUUCCUGGUGUAGCGGUGGAAUGCGCAGAUAUCAGGAAGAACACCCGUGGCGAAGGCGGCUCUCUGGGACGGUACUGACGCUGAGACGCGAAAGCGUGGGAGCGAACAGG